ACGCUCGACACCUACGGAGGCAGCAGUAGGGAAUCUUCCACAAUGGACGCAAGUCUGAUGGAGCAACGCCGCGUGAGUGAAGAAGGUCUUCGGAUCGUAAAACUCUGUUGUUAGAGAAGAACACGAGUGAGAGUAACUGUUCAUUCGAUGACGGUAUCUAACCAGCAAGUCACGGCUAACUACGUUCCAGCAGCCGCGGUAAUCUGAGCGGGCUGGCAAGGC
rnacentral:rRNA from 1 species